rnacentral:rRNA from 1 species
UACGUAGGGUGCAAGCGUUAUCCGGAAUUAUUGGGCGUAAAGAGCUCGUAGGCGGUUUGUCGCGUCUGCUGUGAAAACUGGAGGCUCAACCUCCAGCCUGCAGUGGGUACGGGCAGACUAGAGUGCGGUAGGGGAGAUUGGAAUUCCUGGUGUAGCGGUGGAAUGCGCAGAUAUCAGGAGGAAGACCAGUGGCGAAGGCGGGUCUCUGGACAGUUCCUGACACUGAGGCACGAAGGCCAGGGGAGCAAACGGG